UACAGGGGGGGCAAGCGUUGUUCGGAAUUACUGGGCGUAAAGGGCCAGUAGGCGGCCAACUAAGUCGGACGUGAAAUCCCUCGGCUUAACCGGGGAACUGCGUCCGAUACUGGAUGGCUUGAGUGUGGGAGAGGGAUGCGGAAUUCCAGGUGUAGCGGUGAAAUGCGUAGAUAUUGGGAGGAACACCAGUGGCGAAGGCGGCUCACUGGACCGGAACUGACGCUGAGGCGCGAAAGCGUGGGGAGCAAACGGG
rnacentral:rRNA from 1 species